ensembl:snRNA U1 U1 spliceosomal RNA
AUACUUAUCUGGCAGGGGAGAUACCAUGUUCACGAAGGUGGUUUUCCGAGGGCCAGGUUUAUCCAUUGCACUCUGGAUGUGCUGACCCCCGUGAUUUGCCCGUAUGUGGGAAACUUGACUGCGUAAUUUGUGUAGUGAGGGAUUGCGUUCACGCUUUCCCUUG